AGAACGAACGCUGGCGGCAUGCCUAACACAUGCAAGUCGAACGAGACUUUCGGGUCUAGUGGCGCACGGGUGCGUAACGCGUGGGAAUCUGCCCUUGGGUUCGGGAUAACAGUUGGAAACGACUGCUAAUACCGGAUGAUGUCUUCGGACCAAAGAUUUAUCGCCCAAGGAUGAGCCCGCGUAGGAUUAGCUAGUUGGUGAGGUAAGAGCUCACCAAGGCGACGAUCCUUAGCUGGUCUGAGAGGAUGAUCAGCCACACUGGGACUGAGACACGGCCCCAGACCU
rnacentral:rRNA from 1 species